GCGUAAGCUAGUAAGAUCCUAAGAUCCCUGAAAGAUGAUCAGGUUGAUAGGUUCGAGGUGGAAGCAUGGUGACAUGUGGAGCUGACGAAUACUAAUAGAUCGAGGACUUAACCAUAUAA
rnacentral:rRNA from 1 species